AGGCCCAAAUACCUACUAACAAACUUUAAGCCCAACCCUAAAAUAAACCCUAAAAUUCAUUUAGAUUAGGUUGAUGCUCGCCGCUUUCUCUAACUCUCUCAUUUCACUGUUUCACUUUCAACUUCGAACUCACUCUCUCUCUCUUCUCUCUUCUCUCAAAAAAAUCAGAAAAAAUAAAAAUCAAAAUCGAAAAAUCAAAAUAAAAUUACGAGAAGAUUGUACAACAAUUCAGACAAACGUUGAGAAGCGUAAGAGCCUAAGAGGUAUCAUCAUUUCAAUGACAUGCACUGGUGUUACAUUUCGAUCGACUAUUAUUUGUGUUACUGCACACAUGUGCUAGGACUUUGAUGAAUUCUGGACUAAGAAGCAAGUGUGGUUAACAAAGAUUACUUGGAUAUGUAUUUUGAAGACGCUCUUCUCCCACGAACUACUAAUUUGGAUGUUCUCAUUAACCAGAGGAUCCUCAGAUUAUUAACUUAUUUAUUUUAGUUAAUUACUUAUUUCAUUUAACUCAUGCUUGAAUCUUUGAUUAGCUAAUCAUACGAUGGACGAUACACCAAUCCCGAGUCCGGCAAUGAGCUCCGGUUUUAAUGGAAGUAGUUCUAAGAAAUGAGAAUUUGUCUUGAUUAGUUGAUUAUGCAUGUCAAGAACUUUGGAUUAUGUUGUUAGUUUUAGAACUUAAAACUUUGAACUUUGCUAUUGGUUGUGAACUUUGAACUUUCUUUAAUUUAUUUUGGGUUGUCUGUAAAAAUUAAUGUGGGAUGUAAUUUGAAUUUAGAUUUUGAAUGCUCAA